GAUGAAGAACGCAGCGAAAUGCGAUAAGUAAUGUGAAUUGCAGAAUUCAGUGAAUCAUCGAAUCUUUGAACGCACAUCGCGCCCCCUGGUAUUCCGGGGGGCAUGCCUGUUCGAGCGUCAUUACAACCCUCAAGCUCUGCUUGGUAUUGGGCCCCGCCAGUUCUGGCGGGCCCUAAAGUCAGUGGCGGUGCCUUCCGGCUCCGAGCGUAGUAAUUCUUCUCGCUCUGGAGACCCGGUUGUGUGCUUGCCAACAACCCCCAAUUUUUUAAGGUUGACCUCGGAUCAGGUAGGGAUACCCGCUGAACUUAAGCAUAUCAAUAAGCGGAGGA
rnacentral:misc_RNA from 1 species